rnacentral:rRNA from 1 species
UACGUAGGGGGCGAGCGUUGUCCGGAUUUAUUGGGCGGAAAGAGCUCGUAGGUGGUUUGGUAAGUCGGAUGUGAAAUCUCCAGGCUCAACCUGGAGGGCUCAUUCGAUACUGCCAUGACUAGAGUUCGGUAGGGGAGUGUGGAAUUCCUGGUGGAGCGGUGAAAUGCGCAGAUAUCAGGAGGAACACCCGUAGCGAAGGCGGCACUCUGGGCCGAUACUGACACUGAGGAGCGAAAGCGUGGGGAGCGAACAGG